GAUGAAGAACGUAGCGAAAUGCGAUAAGUAGUGUGAAUUGCAGAAUUCAGUGAAUCAUCGAAUCUUUGAACGCACAUUGCGCCCCUUGGUAUCCCGAGGGGCAUGCCUGUUAGGGCGUCAUUUCACCACUCAAGCCUGGCUUGGUGUUGGGCGACGUCCCCUUUGGGGACGCGCCUCGAAACGCUCGGCGGCGUGGCACCGGCUUUAAGCGUAGCAGAAUCUUUCGCUUUGGAAGUCGGGGCCCCGUCUGCCGGAAGACCUACUCGCAAGGUUGACCUCGGAUCAGGCAGGGAUACCCGCUGAACUUAAGCAUAUCAAUAAGCGGAGGA
rnacentral:misc_RNA from 1 species